CUCAGUCCCAGGAUGCUUUGCCUCCGCGGCAGUCAUGACUCCAGAGCCAUCUGCAUGUGACCUCAUCCUCUGGUACCUAGGUGCUGGUCCCUAGGGUGUUUGAUGUGCCUGUCAUCCUCUUUACUGCAGUGAGGAAGGGAAACUGUCUACCUCUCAAGAUGCUGCUUGUAAAGACGCGGAGGAGUGUCCCGAGACUGCAGAGGCGAAGUGCACCGCGCCCCGGCCUCCCAGCAGCAGUCCCGAGCAGAGGACUGGCCAGCCAAGCGCACCAGGUGACACUUCAGUGAAUGGCCCUGUAUGACGGGUGACGUCUGCUGCUGCUGACUGAGGACUGCAGACCGCCACCACUCAGGGGCUCUGGAGGGGUCAGCUGGAGCCCACCAAGCUGUCACUGCUGCACUCACUCUGCAAGGGAUCAGGACCAGCAACCUUUAUAUUCUAGAUUCUAAGACAUUGUACAGAGAAAUUCAGAAGUGUAAAAAUAUUGCACAUUGACAAAUACCAAGAAUUUUUGCGUAUGUUUAUAUUGUAUUGUUCUAAAUAAUGGGUAGCCUGUGAAAUAAGAUCUUGCCACCCAUGUAA
rnacentral:sRNA from 1 species